rnacentral:rRNA from 1 species
AUUGAACGCUGGCGGCAGGCCUAACACAUGCAAGUCGAAUGGUAACAGGAAACAGCUUGCUGUUUCGCUGACGAGUGGCGGACGGGUGAGUAAUGUCUGUGAAACUGCCUGAUGGAGGGGGAUAACUACUGGAAACGGUAGCUAAUACCGCAUAACGUCGCAAGACCAAAGAGGGGGACCUUCGGGCCUCUUGCCAUCAGAUGUGCCCAGAUGGGAUUCUCUAGUAGGUGGGGUAACGGCUCACCUAGGCGACGAUCCCUAGCUGGUCUGCGAGGAUGACCAGCCACACUGGAACUGAGACACGGUCCAGACUCCUACGGGAGGCAGCAGUGGGGAAUAUUGCACAAUGGGCGCAAGCCUGAUGCAGCCAUGCCGCGUGUAUGAAGAAGGCCUUCGGGUUGUAAAGUACUUUCAGCGGGGAGGAAGGGAGUAAAGUUAAUACCUUUGCUCAUUGACGUUACCCGCAGAAGAAGCACCGGCUAACUCCGUG